GAUGAGCGCUAGCGGGAGGCUUAACACAUGCAAGUCGUGGGGCAGCAUUAGGUAGCAAUACUUAGAUGGCGACCGGCGCACGGGUGAGUAACGCGUAUGCAACCUACCCAGUACAGGGGGAUAGCCCGGAGAAAUUCGGAUUAAUACCCCAUAAUGAUAUAUAGAGGCAUCUUUUUAUAUUUAAAGCUUCGGCGGUACUGGAUGGGCAUGCGUAAGAUUAGCUAGUUGGUAGGGUAACGGCCUACCAAGGCUCCGAUCUUUAGGGGUCCUGAGAGGGUGAUCCCCACACUGGUACUGAGACACGGCGCAGACUCCUACGGGAGGCAGCAGUGAGGAAUAUUGGUCAAUGGGCGCAAGCCUGAACCAGCCAUCCCGCGUGAAGGAAGAAUGCGCUAUGCGUUGUAAACUUCUUUUCCGGAGGAAUAAAAUCUUGUACGCGUACAGGACUGAAGGUACUCCGGGAAUAAGCAUCGGCUAACUCCGUGCCAGCAGCCGCAGUAAAAC
rnacentral:rRNA from 1 species